UGUCUACGGCCAUACCACCCUGAAUGCACCUGAUCUCGUCUGAUCUCAGAAGCUAAGCAGGGUUGGGCCUGGUUAGUACUUGGAUGGG
rnacentral:miRNA from 1 species